UCACAUUUACGCAGUAGCCGACGACUUAAAGCUCAGAGUUUUCGUGAUUCUUCGUCAGUCACGGUUCCGCUGUCGAGGAACAACUAAGCAGGCUUCAAAUAACGUAGCUGUUAUAAUUUUCAAGUCCAAACAAAAGAAUUAACAUGAAGUUCCUAAUUGUUGCACUGUUGAUGGCCGUCGUGGUGGUUCAAGUACUCGCAGAUGACGAAUGGGAGCAAUACAAAAUAAAGUUUAACAAAAAAUACGCGAACCCGGAAGAAGAACAACGUAGAUACAAAAUUUACUUAGAUACCAAAAAAAAAGUAGAAGAACACAAUGUUAAGUACAACAAUGGAGAAGUGUCUUUCUCGCUUGGUAUCAACCAUUUCGCUGACAGGACCCCCGAAGAAUUGAAGAGCAUGCACGGGCUCAGACUUCCGGAGCAGAAGUCUAAAUCCGAACACAAGCAGAAAGCCGAAGCCUUCAUAAGGCCAGACUAAGAACAGCAAAACCAAACUCCAGAAAAUCGCUCAUUUUCAUACUUAUAUUCCAUCGAUUCCUCCAGUGCGUCGAUUAAUCUACUCUGGCGGGGAAACGGCUAGAGUAUAAUGAUGAAAAAUUACUAUCACCUCUACAAGAUGCAUCUUCGCCACUCGAAGAGCCAGAGUCUUUUUGUCCUCAACCUUCAACAUCAAAAACAUCGAUGCUUUCGGCAAUGAAAAGAAACAUUGAUAAAAAUUGUAUUAUUUAUACUAAAACUGCUCAGAAAGGUCAUAUCAAGAAGUCAAAUAAAAAAUACAAUGUAAAUAAAAGGAAGGAAAAUAAACAUACAAACGAGGAAAUACAAAAAGAGAACAACACAAAACAAGCGGAAAAGACUAAAAAAACAUAAGAAAUCGAAAAAAGGAAAAAACAAAAAGUUUCAAAAAAGUGAUUUGAAAUAUGAAUCUGAUAAGUAUGCUGAUCAAACAGAAAUGGAAGAUAUGACAACUUGGGUCAAAGAAACUGGAUCUCAAAAGGUUCUUCAAUGUUUAUGAUGUUUGUAGCAGAUGGAUUUUUCUAUCAACCUCUU